rnacentral:rRNA from 1 species
GGGUUGUGAGGUUAAGCGACUAAGCGUACACGGUGGAUGCCCUGGCAGUCAGAGGCGAUGAAGGACGUGCUAAUCUGCGAUAAGCGCCGGUAAGGUGAUAUGAACCGUUAUAACCGGCGAUUUCCGAAUGGGGAAACCCAGUGUGACUCGUCACACUAUCAUUAACUGAAUCCAUAGGUUAAUGAGGCGAACCGGGGGAACUGAAACAUCUAAGUACCCCGAGGAAAAGAAAUCAACCGAGAUUCCCCCAGUAGCGGCGAGCGAACGGGGAGGAGCCCAGAGCCUGAAUCAGCAUGUGUGUUAGUGGAAGCGUCUGGAAAGGCGCGCGAUACAGGGUGACAGCCCCGUACACAAAAGCGCAUGUGCUGUGAGCUCGAUGAGUAGGGCGGGACACGUGGUAUCCUGUCUGAAUAUGGGGGGACCAUCCUCCAAGGCUAAAUACUCCUGACUGACCGAUAGUGAACCAGUACCGUGAGGGAAAGGCGAAAAGAACCCCGGCGAGGGGAGUGAAAAAGAACCUGAAACCGUGUACGUACAAGCAGUGGGAGCNNGGGCGUUAAGUUGCAGGGUAUAGACCCGAAACCCGGUGAUCUAGCCAUGGGCAGGUUGAAGGUUGGGUAACACUAACUGGAGGACCGAACCGACUAAUGUUGAAAAAUUAGCGGAUGACCUGUGGCUGGGGGUGAAAGGCCAAUCAAACCGGGAGAUAGCUGGUUCUCCCCGAAAGCUAUUUAGGUAGCGCCUCGUGAAUUCAUCUCCGGGGGUAGAGCACUGUUUCGGCUAGGGGGCCAUCCCGGCUUACCAACCCGAUGCAAACUGCGAAUACCGGAGAAUGUUAUCACGGGAGACACACGGCGGGUGCUAACGUCCGUCGUGAAGAGGGAAACAACCCAGACCGCCAGCUAAGGUCCCAAAGUCAUGGUUAAGUGGGAAACGAUGUGGGAAGGCCCAGACAGCCAGGAUGUUGGCUUAGAAGCAGCCAUCAUUUAAAGAAAGCGUAAUAGCUCACUGGUCGAGUCGGCCUGCGCGGAAGAUGUAACGGGGCUAAACCAUGCACCGAAGCUGCGGCAGCGANNUGCUGGAGGUAUCAGAAGUGCGAAUGCUGACAUAAGUAACGAUAAAGCGGGUGAAAAGCCCGCUCGCCGGAAGACCAAGGGUUCCUGUCCAACGUUAAUCGGGGCAGGGUGAGUCGACCCCUAAGGCGAGGCCGAAAGGCGUAGUCGAUGGGAAACGGGUUAAUAUUCCCGUACUUGGUGUUACUGCGAAGGGGGGACGGAGAAGGCUAUGUUGGCCGGGCGACGGUUGUCCCGGUUUAAGCGUGUAGGUGUGUGUUCCAGGUAAAUCCGGUUCACUUUAACACUGAGGCGUGACGACGAGGCACUACGGUGCUGAAGCAACAAAUGCCCUGCUUCCAGGAAAAGCCUCUAAGCAUCAGGUAACAUCAAAUCGUACCCCAAACCGACACAGGUGGUCAGGUAGAGAAUACCAAGGCGCUUGAGAGAACUCGGGUGAAGGAACUAGGCAAAAUGGUGCCGUAACUUCGGGAGAAGGCACGCUGACAUGUAGGUGAAGUGAUUUACUCAUGGAGCUGAAGUCAGUCGAAGAUACCAGCUGGCUGCAACUGUUUAUUAAAAACACAGCACUGUGCAAACACGAAAGUGGACGUAUACGGUGUGACGCCUGCCCGGUGCCGGAAGGUUAAUUGAUGGGGUCAGCGCAAGCGAAGCUCCUGAUCGAAGCCCCGGUAAACGGCGGCCGUAACUAUAACGGUCCUAAGGUAGCGAAAUUCCUUGUCGGGUAAGUUCCGACCUGCACGAAUGGCGUAAUGAUGGCCAGGCUGUCUCCACCCGAGACUCAGUGAAAUUGAACUCGCUGUGAAGAUGCAGUGUACCCGCGGCAAGACGGAAAGACCCCGUGAACCUUUACUAUAGCUUGACACUGAACAUUGAGCCUUGAUGUGUAGGAUAGGUGGGAGGCUUUGAAGUGUGGACGCCAGUCUGCAUGGAGCCGACCUUGAAAUACCACCCUUUAAUGUUUGAUGUUCUAACGUGGACCCGUUAUCCGGGUUGCGGACAGUGUCUGGUGGGUAGUUUGACUGGGGCGGUCUCCUCCUAAAGAGUAACGGAGGAGCACGAAGGUUGGCUAAUCCUGGUCGGACAUCAGGAGGUUAGUGCAAUGGCAUAAGCCAGCUUGACUGCGAGCGUGACGGCGCGAGCAGGUGCGAAAGCAGGUCAUAGUGAUCCGGUGGUUCUGAAUGGAAGGGCCAUCGCUCAACGGAUAAAAGGUACUCCGGGGAUAACAGGCUGAUACCGCCCAAGAGUUCAUAUCGACGGCGGUGUUUGGCACCUCGAUGUCGGCUCAUCACAUCCUGGGGCUGAAGUAGGUCCCAAGGGUAUGGCUGUUCGCCAUUUAAAGUGGUACGCGAGCUGGGUUUAGAACGUCGUGAGACAGUUCGGUCCCUAUCUGCCGUGGGCGCUGGAGAACUGAGGGGGGCUGCUCCUAGUACGAGAGGACCGGAG